AACCCAGCUAUUCUCUUUUGAUGUGUUUUAUGUUGCUAGACUUCCAAUGGUUCUGCAGCCUCCAAAAUUUCUGAGUUCGUGAACUUCUGAUUUCUAAGAGAGCAAAUUGAACACCAGACUCCAAAUACAAAGUUGACUCUUUACAUAUGUAGAUUUUUUUAAUUUGUCUCUUCAAAUCUAUCAUGUUAACUAUCCAGGUCUUUAAGCCUAUUCUAGUUAUUUGAGAUUGCAGCUCUAUUUCUUCAUGAAAUAUAAAGAAAAGUAGCUACCAUUUCUAGCUCUGGAGAAACUGUGUUAUUUAGGAUCUACCGGCUAUUACAAAUAGUUUUAUGUUGGAUCCCAAGAUUUCAGCAACCUGCUGCUACUGCUAAGUAUGUGUUCAACGACAAAAACCUGUAGGCCAAUAGAUAGGGUGUUGAAAUGAUAAUGUGUUAAGAAACGCAGAAUUUUCUCAGCCGAAAGGAAAGCAAGACAAGGGAAGUGAUGAGAAAAAGAAUGCAAUCAGUCAAUUGAUUGGACAGCAAUAUACCUCACUAAGUUACCACCUGGAAGCAGCCUUAGGUUAGCAUCAAAGUAAGAGCAGGAAAGGAUAUGAAAAGUUAUUCGCAGGCUGACUCUUGAAAGUAUAUAGUAUCUAAGAGUAUUUUUUCCUGGCUGGUGAACAAAAAUGUUUAAUAUAACCAUAUACGAGACAAUAGGUUAGUUCUAAUUGUGAAUAUUACAAUCCCACCAUAUCUAGAGACAUUUAGGAGUCAAUCUGUUUCAUUACUUCUCGGCAGAUGUUUAACACACCCAUUUGUUCAUUCAUCCAUUAAUUCAUAAAACUUUAAAAAAUUGUGUGUUAACUGGUUUAUUGCUGUAGAUGAAAUGGUGAAGAAAAAAAUCAUUGUCCUUAUAGAACUUAUAAACUCCAGGGUAAACUCUCCUUCCCUUCUGUAAAGAAGAGGCAAGGAAGUAAAAAGAAAAACAAAGUUUAAUGAUUACUUGGUAAUAAGUUCUGUAUAACAAUUAUAUAUUCUAGUGAAAUCUAUAUCCAUCUAUUUAAAAAAAUAAACAUUGGAUUUUAGAAAUACUCAUAAAUUACUCUUUAAAAGGCAAGAAACACACCACUUUUUGCCCAACUUCAAUUGUGAGACUACACUCCUGACUGGUCGUCAAGAAAGUUUCCUCUUGUUUCAGAAAUAUCCUCUUGUUUCAGAAACACUGAGGUUUGUAAGGAGAUCUUGUAUCAUUGUACUUGGUUAUCAAACACUAAAUCCACCCUGGAGAAAGUGUCCUGCAGCUGCUAUCUACAAAUCUUUCCCAUGAGCACUGG
rnacentral:lncRNA from 10 species